CCGUACACAAAAGCGCAUGUGCUGUGAGCUCGAUGAGUAGGGCGGGACACGUGGUAUCCUGUCUGAAUAUGGGGGGACCAUCCUCCAAGGCUAAAUACUCCUGACUGACCGAUAGUGAACCAGUACCGUGAGGGAAAGGCGAAAAGAACCCCGGCGAGGGGAGUGAAAAAGAACCUGAAACCGUGUACGUACAAGCAGUGGGAGCCCCACCACUAAGCCAGUGGUGAACUCCACAUACGCAUCCUUUGCUGAAGGUGCGGUUAACGGAGCGCAAGCGACGUUCAACCUCAAAAGAAGCAGAGGGGGCUUAGUGGUGGGGUGACUGCGUACCUUUUGUAUAAUGGGUCAGCGACUUAUAUUCUGUAGCAAGGUUAACCGCAUAGGGGAGCCGGAGGGAAACCGAGUCUUAAUUGGGCGUUAAGUUGCAGGGUAUAGACCCGAAACCCGGUGAUCUAGCCAUGGGCAGGUUGAAGGUUGGGUAACA
rnacentral:rRNA from 1 species